rnacentral:rRNA from 1 species
CCGAAAGGCAGGAGUGCCUGCAAGGGAGCGCGGAGACAGGUGGUGCGUGGCUGUCGUCAGCUCGUGUCGUGAGAUGUUGGGUUAAGUCCCGCAACGAGCGCAACCCUCACCUCUUGUUGCCAUCAGGUCAUGCUGGGCACUCUAGAGGAACUGCCCCGGUCAACGGGGAGGAAGGCGGGGAUGACGUCAAGUCAUCAUGCCCCUUACGUCCUGGGCUACACACGUGCUACAAUGGCCGGUACAAAGGGAUGCCACACCGCGAGGUAGAGCUGAACCCAAAAAGCCGGUCUAAGUUCGGAUUGGAGUCUGCAACUCGACUCCAUGAAGGAGGAAUCGCUAGUAAUCGCGUAUCAGCACGACGCGGUGAAUACGUUCCCGGGCCUUGUACACACCGCCCGUCACACCACGAAAGCCAG